GGAGGGAACAGGAUAUAACGUUGUCCUCCUUUCCAAAUUAAUUGUAGAUAGCAAAUCAGCCACAUCUGAUCUGAUGUCUUAUUAGGGUGUUCUCCUCUGAUGUCAUUCCAUUUCCCUGAAGUUUCUACUUCCUCCUCUAACAAAUGGCUACCUUUUGGGGAUUUUCUUAAAACAGGACCAACAAAUUUCUAUUUCCUUCUCUAACAAUGGCUACCUUAAGGCAAUUUUCUUAAAGCAGGACCAGCAAAUUGAGUUACAAAAUGCUGGAUGAUCACUAGGUGGAAGCAAAGAUCAUUAGAAUUUUCUUCUCUCUUUGCUGCCAUCUGGUGGAUCAACCAGAUUUUUACAAUCCAGUUCUCAUAGCCUAUCCCUAUCAAAGAUUUAAAAGAACUAAUAAGCAGGAUUUUUAAACUGGAUCAUACUUGCAUAUGUCAACCACAUACUGAGCUAUCUUUUCUGACAAACUGAUCCUACAAAUAAAAAAUUCUGAUGUUUCCAAAGGCAAAACUAUAUUUGAUAUUCAUUUUCUAUUUGUUCACCUUAUUUUUGUGUGUUAUUCUUUGGCAACUUGAAAAGCUAUGCCCUUCCCACCCCGGGCUCCAAAUCCUGGCUUUCCUAAAUAUUCUUCAAGCCUCUCUCUGGCAUUUUCUCCAGGGGUGCUUUGCCAGAAGGACAGGUGCACCUCACCUCCUGAGAUUUGGGCCACACCCGCUAAAAAAAUGGAUUGAUAUAGAGGAAAGAGAGCUUUGCUGUAAGAUGUUUCAUUAGCCUAACUAGGUAACACCAUCAAUGCUGGUGCUUUUGACAUCAGUAAAGAAGAAGAAAUCCUACCCCCGACGAGAAUCACCAGAAUGUUCAAGAAUAAAUCUGAAAAUGUUGGAAAUGUCAUCAGAUACCUGGUUCAUACUACCAUAUGUGACGGACAUGCGUAGAAGCUAAAAGUUAUUGGACUAAAAUCCACACGUGGUUGGAAAAAAUGAUUUAAAAACAUAUAGACUUUAAACCAGAGGUUUUCUUAUUGGGGAUUAUACCUGAAACUUAUAAUAGAGAAUUGAGAUAUUUGAUCGUGAAUGUAGUAACAGCAGCUAGAAUUGUGCUUGCAAAAAAUUGGAAAAAUUAGAAAACACCAACACAAGAUGAAAUUAUUAGGAAAAUAAUGGAAUGUGGAGAAAUGAGUAAAUUGACAUUUGAAAUUAGAGAACAGAAAGAUAAAAUAAAUCCGAUAUCUUGUAAUAUUGUUUAUCAAUGUUAGAUAAUAAAAUAUGUUAAUGAAAUUUGAUAGAGAUAUGUGUAACAUAAGAAUUGUUGAAAGAUGUAAAUAUAAUGUAACAUCAUUAAUUUGAAUUAAAAUGAGGAACAAAUGAUAUAAGGUAAGCAAUAAAAUUUUUAGAACAUAUUAUAUGAAGAUAGGGAGGACAUAUUCAUAGUUAAAUAAAUGAUAUACUGGCCAAAAAAAUUGGAUAACAUUAAAUUGGUAAAAUGUAAAACUAGAUGAAUUACCUACUAUAAGUAUAGUGAAAUUGCACAAAAAGAUCUGUAAGUAACCAACCGACACACUGUUUGUAUUUUUAUUGAAGAUGUGUUUAUGUAUGUUUGUUUGGAAAAUAAAACUUUAAAAAAAAAGAAGAAAUCCAUUACUGUUAUAAUAUUAAAAUAU